ACGGGAGGCAGCAGUGGGGAAUAUUGCACAAUGGGCGAAAGCCUGAUGCAGCGACGCCGCGUGAGGGAUGAAGGCCUUCGGGUUGUAAACCUCUUUCGGCAGGGACGAAGGGUGACUGACGGUACCUGCAGAAGAAGCGCCGGCCAACUACGUGCCAGCAGCCGCGGUAAGACGUAGGGCGCGAGCGUUGUCCGGAUUUAUUGGGCGUAAAGAGCUCGUAGGCGGCUUGUUACGUCGACUGUGAAAACCCGCGGCUCAACCGUGUGGUCUGCAGUCGAUACGGGCAGGCUAGAGUUCGGUAGGGGAGACUGGAAUUCCUGGUGUAGCGGUGAAAUGCGCAGAUAUCAGGAGGAACACCGGUGGCGAAGGCGGGUCUCUGGGCCGAUACUGACGCUGAGGAGCGAAAGCGUGGGGAGCGAACAGGAUUAGAUACCCUGGUA
rnacentral:rRNA from 1 species